rnacentral:lncRNA from 1 species
GAGGUGUUCCCUGGAGGAGCGGAGGAAGGAGCAAUGUGGCUCCACCCAGCCACGAAGGGAGUGUCUCUGCGAAGCCGCCCUGGAAGGAACCCGCCGCCAGGGGUCGCCAGGCCUCCGCGAGAAGCAGCUGAGCCCUGCGAAGUGGGUGGGGAGUUCCGGGGGCCACGUCGCCAGAAGUCUCUUCGGAAAGCCAUCCUCCCUCUCAUGUACAGCCAGCCCCAGACUUCCUUGUCCCCAUAUUCAUUCUUCCUCCAGCCACUAGAAGAGCAGUUUUUAAGGAAAAUUCUCCACUUCAUAAAAGGGUGCGGCCCUCUCUUUUAAGGUUGAACUUAGUUUUGCACUCAGCCCUUCAGGAGCAAUCUUGGUAAGCUUUGAGAAUCCCGCAAGGAUUCACAGUAGCUACAUGACAAUGGCAGAAUGAACCCAGAGUGCAACCUGAUGCACGGGGAAAGACAUGCAGUCGGCAACUAUCCUCCGCAACCGGCAUGAGCCUACUACGUGGCUACAACCUAGGUGAAGCCAGAGCAGCCUCUGUGGGAAGCCGGAUGCGAAAGAUCACAUUAUGUGCGCCAGUGCGUGUGGAGGAGGGCCGGACAAAGGCCGGACGCUGCCAACGGUGAUCCAGAGACAAGCCUGUAGGCGACGAGUGGCAGGAAGAAUUGCUGGGGCGAGACCUGAACGCUCGAGCGGACACAAACUAAGCUUUGUGCCCUCGAUGUCGCCACCAAAAAUAGUUGGAGCAGCGGACAGACAGUACUGCGUGUACUCUGCAUCUCAAAGCUAGGAAAGAAGAGGCAGGUGGAGAGGGAGAGGGUGCGGUGCGGAAAAGGAAAGUGAGGUGAGAGGGAGGGGCAGAGCUGUCCCUUGGCACCUGCCAGUUUAACGGCGGUCUACAGGAUGGCCACGCCCUCCGGAAGUGCGGAGACUGCGGGCUCACCUUUACCUUGACCCUCCCUGUGUUUUGCUGCAGACCUUCCUCUGCUCAUCUGGAUACCUUCAGCUAUUCUGCCUCAGGGUCUCCUCCUUCCUGGCCCCUUGCCACACAGCAAAUGGCCUCGCCCAGCUAGUUUCUACCUGCUCUUCCUGCCCUCGCUUCAGAGCCAUGCUAUACUGCACACCUUAAACACGAAGCGCCCUGAAAAGCACAAAGACUUGAGUUCUUGUCUACUGUGCCAAGGAACUCCUGAUACACCCUUAUGGAACUCUCUGCCGCUUAGGCUUCUUUGCAAUACUAUACACUUCCCUCACCUGACCUGCUCAUUCCUACAGGCCUCUCAGGUUGCUGGAGGCCCAAGUCUACUCCAGUUGAGAGACGUGGAUCUGGGCUCGAGGGGCUGGAAGUAUGAGGAAGACAGGGGCCUUAAGGGUGGAAGACAACAGGGGAAAGUGAGUUUCUGCCCUUCACCCAUACAUCUCUUCCAGGUCCUCUGCAGGUCUGGUUGGACACCAAAGAUACCCUCACCCCUCCUAGUAGGAAACUAAUACCGAAGGUGGGCUUCUUCUACUCCAUACUGUGGUCACCUCAAACACUAUGGCCUCCACCUAUUGAAAUUCCAGAAUCACCCAACAAUACACACUACACUAUACUACACUACACUGCAGACCACUUACUGGACUAUCCAGCUUGUUCCUGCAGUGUAGGUGCCAAAGAUGAACCCAGGCUAGACCAGGACACUGCUGAGACCUUUGUGACCUUGUUAAGUCCAAAGGGUUUUGAAUGGCCAGUAGCAUAGGGAAGGCAAAGCUGAGAGCUGCCUGGCUCUACAAGGGUUUCCAGAAAGCCCUUUCCACUGUCACCCUCAAAUCCCAUUAGAGCACUGGGUCACCCAGGGCACUCCUGUUCAGGGAAAAGGUGUCUGGGACCACGCUGAGCAGCUACAGAGCUCACCCACAAGGGUGCACUUCUGGGGACAGGGUGGGGUUGCAGGAAGUGAAAAUGGAAUAGAUCAGGAAUCCACACAACUCCCUCCCGAAACAGCUCAAAAAGGGAACCAAAGCAGCUCCCACUGAUUCACCCUCUGAACUGCGGCCAGCCCCACCUACGCCAUGUUCCUGCUGACCCCGACAGCCAGGACCUCACCCCAGGCCAGAACCACUACAGAACCAGGCGACAGGAACUUUACGGAUCCUGAAGUUGGAUGUAGGCCUGAAACUGCACCCCUCAAAGGGUAGUGGGCACCACUGCCUGCAGCAGCAGGAAAAGCAGUGCCCUGCAUCAGGCCUGGGGUUGAGGCUCUCACUGUACACCCCUCUAUCACACAUCAGCAGACAAAAACACAGGACUUCCAAAGAUCAGGUUUAUUAAAGGCACUGAGGGUUCCCGAGAGCCCUGCUGUCCGGGGGUAAGGCCUGGCAUGUGCCUGGGCGGGCAGGGAGAGUUUCCACAACCUGUAAGAAAGAGAGACAAAUGUGAGC